rnacentral:rRNA from 1 species
AACGUAGGAGACAAACGUUAUCCGGAGUUACUGGGCGUAAAGGGCGUGCAGGCGGUCGACUAAGUCUGGCGUGAAAGCUCUCGGCUAAACCGGGAGAGGUCGUUGGAUACUGGUUGACUAGAGGACGGUAGAGGCGUGUGGAAUUCCGGGUGUAGUGGUGAAAUGCGUAGAGAUCCGGAGGAACACCAGUGGCGAAGGCGACUACCUGGCCUGUUCUUGACGCUGAGGCGCGAAAGCUAGGGGAGCAAACGGG